CUGUAGACUGUUGAAAUUUUCUGGUUGUAGAGCUGCUUUUUUUAAAAUUUAAACUCCCAUGAAAAGUACUAUUUUACACCUCUGCUGUUACAGACUGAUAGGUUCGUUUAAAACUACCUGGUUUAAGUGUUACAGACUGAUAGGUUCGUUUAAAACUACCUGGUUUAAGUGUUACAGACUGAUAGGUUCGUUUAAAACUAACCUGGUUUAAGUGUCAACAGCUGUUGGAAAUGGUGGACUGCUGAGUCAUAUUCAUUCUUUCUGAACAUAAGGUCGGCCAACAUCUACAAAGAGAAAAUACCGUGUAGUCAAUUUUCGAGUCACUUGAUUUAAUUUUCUCAUAUUUACCGGGUAGUGUUUUUUCUUUUUUUUAUGCUUGGUUUCUCUGUUACCAGGUACUUACGAUUGUAGCAGCAUCAUUUUCUUUUUCGUUUUUCAGAAGAGACAUCAAUUGAUGUUGGCACGAGUCCAAGUCUUCUGUCAUCAGAUAUAAUCCCGCCAAAUCCAACAUAACCUAGGACAUUAAAUCAAAUCAUGCUGAAUAUCAUAGAAUUUAAAUGAAAUCAUACUGAUUAUCACCGAAAGGAAUUUCAGCUUGAUUUUCAUGUAAAAGCUGCCUUAUUGUGAAAAUAAUAUUCUCCUAAUACAUGUAAUUAAUAUAUUAAUGCACAAAUUGAAUCUUCAUGAAAUUUUUAUCUCAGACACCGAAAAUUCCAAGAAGGGUAACAUUUUACAGAAAUAGGUCUUCACAAAAUAUAAGUGAAUUACAGCAUAUGCUGAAAUCUGCUGUAUCAGAAAUAACACAGUAUAUCAAUACACAGGACCACCAUAAUGUUCUGCAC